rnacentral:rRNA from 1 species
GACGAACGCUGGCGGCGUGCUUAACACAUGCAAGUCGAACGGUGAUGCUCCAGCUUGCUGGAGUGGAUCAGUGGCGAACGGGUGAGUAACACGUGAGCAACCUGCCCCAGACUCUGGAAUAAGCGCUGGAAACGGCGUCUAAUACUGGAUACGAAACUGGCCCGCAUGGGCAUGGUUUGGAAAGUUUUUCGGUUUGGGAUGGGCUCGCGGCCUAUCAGCUUGUUGGUGAGGUAAUGGCUCACCAAGGCGACGACGGGUAGCCGGCCUGAGAGGGCGACCGGCCACACUGGGACUGAGACACGGCCCAGACUCCUACGGGAGGCAGCAGUGGGGAAUAUUGCACAGUGGGCGAAAGCCUGGUGCAGCGACGCCGCGUGAGGGAUGACGGCCUUCGGGUUGUAAACCUCUGUCAGCAGGGAAGAAGCGAUAGUGACGGUACCUGCAGAAGAAGCACCGGCUAACUACGUG